GACGAACGCUGGCGGCGUGCCUAAUACAUGCAAGUUGAGCGCUGAAGGUUGGUAUUUGUUCCCACUGGAUGAGCAGCACACGGGUGAGUAACGCGUGUGACAUCUCCCUUAGAGCGGGGGACAACAUUUGGAAACGAAUGCUGAUACCGCAUUAAAACUUUAAACACAAGUUUUAAGUUUGAAAUAUGCAAUUGCAUCACUCAAAGAUGCUUCCGCGUUGUAUUAGCUAGUUGGUGAGGUAAAGGCUCACCAAGGCGAUGAUACAUAGCCGACCUGAGAGGGUGAUCGGCCACAUUGGGACUGAGACACGGCCCAGACUCCUACGGGAGGCAGCAGUAGGGAAUCUUCGGCAAUGGACGGAAGUCUGACCGAGCAACGCCGCGUGAGUGAAGAAGGUUUUCGGAUCGUAAAACUCUGUUGUUAGAGAAGAACGUUGGUGAGAGUGGAAAGCUCAUCCAGUGACGGUAACUAACCAGAAAGGGACGGCUAACUACGUG
rnacentral:rRNA from 1 species